rnacentral:rRNA from 1 species
GUGGAGCAUGUGGCUUAAUUUGACUCAACGCGGGAAAUCUUACCGGGUCCGGACACACUGAGGAUUGACAGGCAAUAUUAAUACAUCAGUUCUUUUUUAUUAAAGUCUGUGUAUUAUGUUAAAUAUGCUAGUCCUUUCAUGAUUAUGUGAUAGGUGGUGCAUGGCCGUUCUUAGUUCGUGGAGUGAUCUGUCUGCUUAAUUGCGUUUCACUAAGGGCCUAUAAAUUUACGUGUGUUGCGGCACUUUGACCCCUCUCUGAGCGCGCGUCUUAGUUUGCUUUGCUCGCACAAUUAGGUCCUGAAAGCAACGAACGUGACCGCAACCUCUUGUUGCCUUUAUUCCAAACAUGUUUGCCAUUUUAAAUGGUAUUCAUGAAAAAAGGCUUUUUAAACUAGAGGGACCGCUGUUACUUUCUUAAACCAGAGGAAGGUUGCGGCAAUAACAGGUCUGUGAUGCCCUUAGAUGUUCCGGGCUGCACACGUGCUACAAUGAUUAUUGCAGUGAGCAUCUCAUUUUUACACACCGCAUGCGCGAGUCCAUUUAUUCACCUCUCUGAGGCGCUUUAAAUGUGUACCUCUGCGCGCGGUAAAGCCUGCUUCGAGAGUAAGUGGGUAAUCAAUUAGAAGUAAUGAUUUCCUUUUUAGCACACAUAUAUACGGCGUCUAUGCCCGGGCUGCCUUGUUGUAGCUUUUGUGCGUAUAGAUGUUUUUUCCGUAUGUGCGAUUGUCAAUUCAUGGUGGGGACAGACCAUUGUUAAUUGUUGGUCUCGGUCUUAACUAGGAAUGCCUUGUACGGGUCUUUGGUUCAACAAACCACCCGGAAUACGUCCCUGCCCUUUGUACACACCGCCCGUCGCUCUUACCGAUGGACUUCUCUGUGAGUUUGAGGGACUGGGAACGCAGAUUUUAUCUGCACACCUAUGGAAACUUAAACGAAC